AUGAGCCGACGUAGUAACGGCCGCACCAUCUACGUGGGCAACCUCCCCGAGGACAUCCGCGAGAGAGAGAUUGAGGAUCUCUUCUACAAGUAUGGUCCUAUUGUCGAUAUCGAUCUGAAAAUUCCUCCAAGGCCUCCUGUUUAUGCUUUUGUCGAGUUCGAAGACCCACGUGAUGCUGAUGAUGCAAUUUAUGGCCGUGAUGGAUAUGACUUUGAUGGCCACAAAUUGCGGGUGGAGUUAGCUCAUGGGGGGAAAGGCCCUUAUUUUAUUCGACCAAGCAGCUAUAGUAGUUCUGGACGUCAUGGUGCAGUUAGGCGUUCUGAUUACCGCGUUAUUGUUACCGGAUUACCUUCUUCAGCAUCAUGGCAAGAUCUCAAGGAUCAUAUGCGGCGAGCUGGUGAUGUCUGUUUCUCUGAUGUUUAUCCUGAGGCUGGAGCAAUUACUGGAAUAGUUGAGUAUACCAACUACGAAGACAUGAAACAUGCGAUAAGAAAGCUUGAUGAUUCAGAGUUCCGUAAUGCAUUUUCACGAGCAUAUAUCAGGGUGAGGGAGUACAAUGCUAGGCGUAGCCGCUCUUACUCGAGAGGUAGAAGCCGAAGCUGCUCUUACUCAAGAAGCAGAAGUCACAGUUAUAGCAGGAGCAAGAGUCCAAGGUCUAGACCUGCUUCUCGGUCUCCUUCACCUGUUAAAGCAAGGUCAUCAUCAAGAUCCCUAUCACCUGCCGCUCCUGCCCAUGACAAGUCUGCAAGCAGGAGCCCCGUCAGGAGCAGAAGUUUACCCCGUUCUCAGUCUCCUGUGAAAUCUGAGUGA
rnacentral:rRNA from 1 species